rnacentral:rRNA from 1 species
CAACCUACCUAUCAGAGGGGAAUAACCCGGCGAAAGUCGGACUAAUACCGCAUAAGACAGGGGCACCGCAUGGUGAUAUUUGUUAAAGAAAUUCGCUGAUAGAUGGGCAUGCGUUCCAUUAGGUAGUUGGUGAGGUAACGGCUCACCAAGCCUACGAUGGAUAGGGGAACUGAGAGGUUGGUCCCCCACACUGGUACUGAGACACGGACCAGACUCCUACGGGAGGCAGCAGUGAGGAAUAUUGGUCAAUGGGCGGGAGCCUGAACCAGCCAAGUCGCGUGAAGGAAGAAGGAUCUAUGGUUCGUAAACUUCUUUUGCAGGGGAAUAAAGUGCAGGACGUGUCCUGUUUUGUAUGUACCCUGAGAAUAAGGAUCGGCUAACUCCGUGCCAGCAGCCGCGGUAAUACGGAGGAUCCGAGCGUUAUCCGGAUUUAUUGGGUUUAAAGGGAGCGUAGGUUGACAUAUAAGUCAGCUGUGAAAGUUUACGGCUCAACCGUGAAAUUGCAGUUGAUACUGUAUGUCUUGAGUGUACAAGAGGUGGGCGGAAUGCGUGGUGUAGCGGUGAAAUGCAUAGAUAUCACGAAGAACUCCGAUUG